AGUAAGGCCUUCGGGUUGUAAAGCCCUUUUGUUGGGAAAGAAAUCCAGCCGGCUAAUACCUGGUUGGGCAUGACGGUACCCAUAGAAUAAGCACCGGCUAACUUCGUGCCAGCAGCCGCGGUAAUACGAAGGGUGCAAGCGUUACUCGGAAUUACUGGGCGUAAAGCGUGCGUAGGUGGUUGUUUAAGUCUGUUGUGAAAGCCCUGGGCUCAACCUGGGAACUGCAGUGGAAACUGGGCAGACUAGAGUGUGGUAGAGGGUAGUGGAAUUCCCGGUGUAGCAGUGAAAUGCGUAUAGAUCGGGAGGAACAUCCAUGGCGAAGGCAGCUACCUGGACCAACACUGACACUGAGGCACGAAAGCGUGGGGAGCAAACAGGAUUAGAUACCCUGGUAGUCCACGCCCUAAACGAUGCGAACUGGAUGUUGGGUGCAAUUUGGCACGCAGUAUCNAANCUAACGCGUUAAGUUCGCCGCCUGGGGAGUACGGUCGCAAG
rnacentral:rRNA from 1 species